GAUGAACGCUGGCGGUAUGCCUUACACAUGCAAGUCGAACGAAGCCUUCGGGCUUAGUGGCGCACGGGUGCGUAACGCGUGGGAAUCUGCCCUUGGGUUCGGAAUAACAGUUAGAAAUGACUGCUAAUACCGGAUGAUGUCUUCGGACCAAAGAUUUAUCGCCCAAGGAUGAGCCCGCGUAGGAUUAGGUAGUUGGUGGGGUAAUGGCCCACCAAGCCGACGAUCCUUAGCUGGUCCGAGAGGAUGAUCAGCCACACUGGGACUGAGACACGGCCCAGGCUCCUACGGGAGGCAGCAGUGGGGAAUAUUGGACAAUGGGUGAAAGCCUGAUCCAGCAAUGCCGCGUGAGUGAUGAAGGCCUUAGGGUUGUAAAGCUCUUUUACCAGGGAUGAUAAUGACAGUACCUGGAGAAUAAGCUCCGGCUAACUCCGUGCCAGCCGCCGCCGUAACAC
rnacentral:rRNA from 1 species